AAAUUGCUGGAAGAUGCGAUAUAACCCUUAUGAAAAACCUACUAAUCGAAAAUAUAGGGAAUCUAAUUCAUGGCUGGUGUAGAAGACCUAUUAAUUUAGGGAUCCUAAAAGUUGUGAUGUGAUGCCCACCUGGGAGACUAGGCUUUAUUCGAUUCAGGGCAUCGCUCUUCUGGCUUUUUA
rnacentral:other from 1 species